rnacentral:rRNA from 1 species
GUGGGGAAUCUUCCGCAAUGGACGAAAGUCUGACGGAGCAACGCCGCGUGAGUGAUGAAGGUCUUCGGAUUGUAAAGCUCUGUUAAUCGGGACGAAAGAGCCUAGUGUGAAUAAUGCUAGGAAGUGACGGUACCGGAAUAGAAAGCCACGGCUAACUACGUGCCAGCAGCCGCGGUAAUACGUAGGUGGCAAGCGUUGUCCGGAAUUAUUAGGCGUAAAGCGCGCGCAGGCGGAUCUGCCAGUCUGUCUUAAAAGUUCGGGGCUUAACCCCGUGAUGGGAUGGAAACUACAGAUCUAGAGUAUCGGAGAGGAAAGUGGAAUUCCAAGUGUAGCGGUGAAAUGCGUAGAGAUUUGGAAGAACACCAGUGGCGAAGGCGACUUUCUGGACGAUGUCUGACGCUGAGGCGCGAAAGCUAGGGGAGCGAACGGGAUUAGAAACCCUUGUAGUCC